rnacentral:snoRNA from 14 species
UAUUAAACAAAAAAGGCAUUUUAGGCAUAUUAAAAUGAAAUAAAUUAUGUUUUAUAAGAUUGGUAUGCGCCUUUGGUGGGGCUGCACAGUGCCCCCCAGAGUGCAUCAGGAGAUUCUACAGCU